rnacentral:lncRNA from 1 species
UAUGCCCCAACUCUCCUAAUGACAGCAGCAUCUCCGAGCUCGGGAUAGAGUAAAAAUAUACCAAUGCAUGGGAUUUGAUCAUAAAAAUACCUUCGAUAACUAUAUUCCCAUCUAUUGUAGCAGGGGCAAUGAUAGGUCGUAGUCUUGUGAGGUCCCGAUUAGAAAUUGGUUCGUAAGCGAACCUCCAACUAAUGGUACAUGAG